UGUGAUUUUAGGGCUGAUUAUUUGGUAC
rnacentral:piRNA from 1 species